GCAUGGGUUGGAUUUAUGGCAGGCCCGUCCCCUUGGGCCUUUCAUAGUGUCCCACUCCAGAGCAAAUUGUGGUCCCCAACCAUUGCCUAACCUCUGCCUGCAGGCUAAUGGCACCGAAGGGGAUUAUACAGAG